GCGUGCCUAACACAUGCAAGUCGAACGAGAAAGCUCUUUCGGGAGUGAGUAGAGUGGCGCACGGGUGAGUAACACGUGGAUAAUCUGCCUGAUAAUCUGGGAUAACACUUCGAAAGGGGUGCUAAUACCGGAUAAGCCCACAUCCUCUUCGGAGGAAGCGGGAAAAGAUGGCCUCUUCUUGAAAGCUAUUGUUAUCAGAUGAGUCCGCGGUCCAUUAGCUAGUUGGUAGGGUAACGGCCUACCAAGGCGACGAUGGAUAGCUGGUUUGAGAGAAUGAUCAGCCACACUGGAACUGAGACACGGUCCAGACUCCUACGGGAGGCAGCAGUGGGGAAUUUUGCGCAAUGGGGGCAACCCUGACGCAGCAACGCCGCGUGAGUGAUGAAGGUUUUCGGAUCGUAAAGCUCUGUCAGGAGGGAAGAAACCUCACCUGGUUAAUACCUUGGUGAAUUGACGGUACCUCCAGAGGAAGCACCGGCUAACUCCGUGCCAGCAGCCGCGGUAAUACGGAGGGUGCAAGCGUUGUUCGGAAUUAUUGGGCGUAAAGCGCGUGUAGGCGGUUUGUUAAGUCUGAUGUGAAAGCCCCGGGCUCAACCUGGGAAGUGCAUUGGAAACUGGCAGACUUGAGUACGGGAGAGGGAAGUGGAAUUUCGAGUGUAGGGGGUGAAAUCCGUAGAUAUUCGAAGGAACACCAGUGGCGAAGGCGGCUUCCUGGACCGAUACUGACGCUGAGACGCGAAAGCGUGGGGAGCAAACAGGAUUAGAUACCCUGUAGUCCACGCCGUAAACGAUGGGUACUAGUGUUGCGGGUAUUGACCCCUGCAGUGCCGUAGCUAACGCAUUAAGUACCCCGCCUGGGGAGUA
rnacentral:rRNA from 1 species